GGUUAAGCGACUAAGCGUACACGGUGGAUGCCCUGGCAGUCAGAGGCGAUGAAGGACGUGCUAAUCUGCGAUAAGCGUCGGUAAGGUGAUAUGAACCGUUAUAACCGGCGAUUUCCGAAUGGGGAAACCCAGUGUGUUUCGACACACUAUCAUUAACUGAAUCCAUAGGUUAAUGAGGCGAACCGGGGGAACUGAAACAUCUAAGUACCCCGAGGAAAAGAAAUCAACCGAGAUUCCCCCAGUAGCGGCGAGCGAACGGGGAGCAGCCCAGAGCCUGAAUCAGUGUGUGUGUUAGUGGAAGCGUCUGGAAAGGCGCGCGAUACAGGGUGACAGCCCCGUACACAAAAAUGCACAUAUUGUGAGCUCGAUGAGUAGGGCGGGACACGUGGUAUCCUGUCUGAAUAUGGGGGGACCAUCCUCCAAGGCUAAAUACUCCUGACUGACCGAUAGUGAACCAGUACCGUGAGGGAAAGGCGAAAAGAACCCCGGCGAGGGGAGUGAAAAAGAACCUGAAACCGUGUACGUACAAGCAGUGGGAGCACGCUUCGGCGUGUGACUGCGUACCUUUUGUAUAAUGGGUCAGCGACUUAUAUUCUGUAGCAAGGUUAACCGAAUAGGGGAGCCGAAGGGAAACCGAGUCUUAACUGGGCGUUAAGUUGCAGGGUAUAGACCCGAAACCCGGUGAUCUAGCCAUGGGCAGGUUGAAGGUUGGGUAACACUAACUGGAGGACCGAACCGACUAAUGUUGAAAAAUUAGCGGAUGACUUGUGGCUGGGGGUGAAAGGCCAAUCAAACCGGGAGAUAGCUGGUUCUCCCCGAAAGCUAUUUAGGUAGCGCCUCGUGAAUUCAUCUCCGGGGGUAGAGCACUGUUUCGGCAAGGGGGUCAUCCCGACUUACCAACCCGAUGCAAACUGCGAAUACCGGAGAAUGUUAUCACGGGAGACACACGGCGGGUGCUAACGUCCGUCGUGAAGAGGGAAACAACCCAGACCGCCAGCUAAGGUCCCAAAGUCAUGGUUAAGUGGGAAACGAUGUGGGAAGGCCCAGACAGCCAGGAUGUUGGCUUAGAAGCAGCCAUCAUUUAAAGAAAGCGUAAUAGCUCACUGGUCGAGUCGGCCUGCGCGGAAGAUGUAACGGGGCUAAACCAUGCACCGAAGCUGCGGCAGCGACACUAUGUGUUGUUGGGUAGGGGAGCGUUCUGUAAGCCUGUGAAGGUGUACUGUGAGGUAUGCUGGAGGUAUCAGAAGUGCGAAUGCUGACAUAAGUAACGAUAAAGCGGGUGAAAAGCCCGCUCGCCGGAAGACCAAGGGUUCCUGUCCAACGUUAAUCGGGGCAGGGUGAGUCGACCCCUAAGGCGAGGCCGAAAGGCGUAGUCGAUGGGAAACAGGUUAAUAUUCCUGUACUUGGUGUUACUGCGAAGGGGGGACGGAGAAGGCUAUGUUGGCCGGGCGACGGUUGUCCCGGUUUAAGCGUGUAGGCUGGUUUUCCAGGCAAAUCCGGAAAAUCAAGGCUGAGGCGUGAUGACGAGGCACUACGGUGCUGAAGCAACAAAUGCCCUGCUUCCAGGAAAAGCCUCUAAGCAUCAGGUAACAUCAAAUCGUACCCCAAACCGACACAGGUGGUCAGGUAGAGAAUACCAAGGCGCUUGAGAGAACUCGGGUGAAGGAACUAGGCAAAAUGGUGCCGUAACUUCGGGAGAAGGCACGCUGAUAUGUAGGUGAAGUCCCUUGCGGAUGGAGCUGAAAUCAGUCGAAGAUACCAGCUGGCUGCAACUGUUUAUUAAAAACACAGCACUGUGCAAACACGAAAGUGGACGUAUACGGUGUGACGCCUGCCCGGUGCCGGAAGGUUAAUUGAUGGGGUCAGCGCAAGCGAAGCUCUUGAUCGAAGCCCCGGUAAACGGCGGCCGUAACUAUAACGGUCCUAAGGUAGCGAAAUUCCUUGUCGGGUAAGUUCCGACCUGCACGAAUGGCGUAAUGAUGGCCAGGCUGUCUCCACCCGAGACUCAGUGAAAUUGAACUCGCUGUGAAGAUGCAGUGUACCCGCGGCAAGACGGAAAGACCCCGUGAACCUUUACUAUAGCUUGACACUGAACAUUGAGCCUUGAUGUGUAGGAUAGGUGGGAGGCUUUGAAGUGUGGACGCCAGUCUGCAUGGAGCCGACCUUGAAAUACCACCCUU
rnacentral:rRNA from 1 species